rnacentral:lncRNA from 1 species
CUUCGUGGCCUCUUGAUUUGCCAGCUCAAUUAAUGAGCUUAGAUCAGACGGUCCACGCUUUUUACAAUUUCUAUUUUCUGUUUUAUUUUCCUUUUAUUUUCUUUAAUUCCAAUUAUUUUCAAAAAUCAAUAUCUCUUUCAUUUUUUAUCCAAAAAUUAUGGGACCAAUUGCAUUAGUUCCCAAAUAAAUUCUAGUUUCUAUUUCUGAUUUUUAUUUUAUUUUUAUUUUGUCAUUUGAUAUUUUUUGUGAAUUUUCUCUUUUCUGGUUAUUUUUAAUUCAUUUUAAAUCGUUUUUGAUAUUCAAAAAAUGCAAAAAUAUUUUCCUAACCUAUUUUAAUGAUGAUCAAUCUAU